GGUUAACUGACUGAGGGGCCAGGGUCAGAGAAAAGGGUAUCUUUUCUCCCUGGUCACAAGGCUGUAAGUAUGGAAGCCCAGCAUCAAAGAGCCAUGCCCCCACCUAAGAAAGAAGUUGUUCUAAGGAAAAUGAAACCAGUAUACAGACAGCAGGAUGGUGAGCUCCAGGAAGAAAAGGAUCAUCAUUUAUCCUUCCAUGCUGUGUCUUUAGAACCUAGUGUGGUGCCCAGCACAUAGAAGAUCUGCAAGAAAUACAUCUACCAGCUGGGUGCAGUUGAACAAAAUCAUUACAGGAUUAGCAGUUUUCUGACCCACUUACUAAAAAGAAGCUGAAUCACUGAAUUGAGACCCCAGGGAAAUGCAGAUUUAUACCUUUGAUGUAUUUCUUGAUUUUUCUUAAAUUAAAUUCUAUAAUCAGUUUUUGAGUCUUUGCCAUCUAUCUUUUAAUUGGGUGAUUU
rnacentral:lncRNA from 1 species